rnacentral:rRNA from 1 species
UUGAACGCUGGCGGCAUGCUUUACACAUGCAAGUCGAACGGCAGCACGAAAGAGCUUGCUCUUUUGGUGGCGAGUGGCGAACGGGUGAGUAAUGCAUCGGAACGUACCGAGUAAUGGGGGAUAACUGUCCGAAAGGAUAGCUAAUACCGCAUACGCUUUGAGAAGGAAAGUGGGGGCUCUUCGGACCUCACGUUAUUCGAGCGGCCGAUGUCUGAUUAGCUAGUUGGUGGGGUAAAGGCCUACCAAGGCGACGAUCAGUAGCGGGUCUGAGAGGAUGAUCCGCCACACUGGGACUGAGACACGGCCCAGACUCCUACGGGAGGCAGCAGUGGGGAAUUUUGGACAAUGGGCGCAAGCCUGAUCCAGCCAUGCCGCGUGUCUGAAGAAGGCCUUCGGGUUGUAAAGGACUUUUGUUAGGGAAGAAAAGGAUAGUGUUAAUACCAUUAUCUGCUGACGGUACCUAAAGAAUAAGCACCGGCUAACUACGUG